rnacentral:misc_RNA from 1 species
GUUUGAACCAAUAGGAAGAAGACUAAUAGUCAACGAUAAGACUGUUCAAGCAAACUCACAAAACUACAGGUCAAGAGUAGCAGACGGUGAAGCCAAACCACUAGGAAACUCGCGACAUUGUUGAGAUUAGAGAGAGAAGAAGUGAAGAACUGAGGUAAGAAGUUGGUGGGACUUGGGAGAACCUGUGAGAGUGAGAGAGUGA